CCUACGGGAGGCAGCAGUGAGGAAUAUUGGUCAAUGGACGAGAGUCUGAACCAGCCAAGUAGCGUGAAGGAUGACUGCCCUAUGGGUUGUAAACUUCUUUUAUAUGGGAAUAAAAUGUUCCACGUGUGGGAUUUUGUAUGUACCAUAUGAAUAAGGAUCGGCUAACUCCGUGCCAGCAGCCGCGGUAAUACGGAGGAUCCGAGCGUUAUCCGGAUUUAUUGGGUUUAAAGGGAGCGUAGGUGGAUUGUUAAGUCAGUUGUGAAAGUUUGCGGCUCAACCGUAAAAUUGCAGUUGAAACUGGCAGUCUUGAGUACAGUAGGGGUGGGCGGAAUUCGUGGUGUAGCGGUGAAAUGCUUAGAUAUCACGAAGAACUCCGAUUGCGAAGGCAGUUCACUGGACUGCAACUGACACUGAGGCUCGAAAGUGUGGGUAUCAAACAGGAUUAGAUACCCCUGUAGUC
rnacentral:rRNA from 1 species